UACGAAGGGUGCAAACGUUGCUCGGAAUUAUUGGGCGUAAAGCGCGUGUAGGCGGCUCUUCAAGUCGAGUGUGAAAGCUCCAGGCUUAACCUGGGAAUUGCGCUCGAUACUGUUGAGCUAGAGUGUGGAAGGGGCUACUGGAAUUCCGUGUGUAGCGGUGAAGUGCGUAGAUAUACGGAGGAACACCUGCGGCGAAGGCGGGUAGCUGGGCCAACACUGACGCUGAGACGCGAAAGCUAGGGGAGCAAACGGG
rnacentral:rRNA from 1 species